GCGCAGCAGGCGCGAAUCUUCCACAAUGGACGAAAGUCUGAUGGAGCGACGCCGCGUGCGGGAUGAAGGCCUUAUGGGUUGUAAACCGCUGUCAGGGGGAAGAACAUCGGAAUGAACAAUACUCAUUCCGACUGACGUUACCCCAGAGGAAGCUCCGGCAACUCCGUGCCAGCAGCCGCGGUAAUACGGGGGGAGCAAGCGUUGUCCGGAAUUAUUGGGCUA
rnacentral:rRNA from 1 species